rnacentral:rRNA from 1 species
UCAAGCGACUAAGUGCAUGUGGUGGAUGCCUUGGCGAUUACAGGCGAAGAAGGACGUUGCAGCCUGCGAAAAGCUGCGGGGAGCUGGCAAGCAAGCUUUGAUCCGCAGAUGUCCGAAUGGGGAAACCCACCCUUAGGGGUACCCUAGACUGAAUACAUAGGUCUAGAGGAGCGAACCGAGCGAACUGAAACAUCUAAGUAGCUCGAGGAAAAGAAAUCAACCGAGAUUCCGCAAGUAGUGGCGAGCGAACGCGGAGCAGCCUGCAAGAUAUAGCUAACACGUUAACAGAACGGUUUGGAAAGGCCGACCAUAGUGGGUGAUAGUCCCGUAUGUAAAAACCUGUUAGUAGAACUAAGCUUGCGACAAGUAGGGCGGGACACGAGAAAUCCUGUUUGAACAUGGGGGGACCAUCCUCCAAGGCUAAAUACUCGUAAUCGACCGAUAGUGAACCAGUACCGUGAGGGAAAGGCGAAAAGAACCCCGGGAGGGGAGUGAAAUAGAUCCUGAAACCGCAUGCAUACAAACAGUGGGAGCGGACUUGAUCCGUGACUGCGUACCUUUUGUAUAAUGGGUCAGCGACUUACGUUCAGUAGCGAGCUUAACCGAAUAGGGGAGGCGAAGGGAAACCGAGUCUGAUAAGGGCGAUAGUUGCUGGGCGUAGACCCGAAACCAGAUGAUCUAUCCAUGGCCAGGAUGAAGGUGCGGUAACACGCACUGGAGGUCCGAACCCACUAAUGUUGAAAAAUUAGGGGAUGAGCUGUGGAUAGGGGUGAAAGGCUAAACAAAUCUGGAAAUAGCUGGUUCUCUCCGAAAACUAUUUAGGUAGUGCCUCAAGUAUCACCUUCGGGGGUAGAGCACUGUUAUGGCUAGGGGUCAUCACGACUUACCAACCCAUUGCAAACUCCGAAUACCGAAGAGUGCGAGCUUGGGAGACAGACAUCGGGUGCUAACGUCCGGUGUCAAAAGGGAAACAACCCAGACCGUCAGCUAAGGUCCCAAAGACACAGUUAAGUGGUAAACGAUGUGGGAAGGCAUAGACAGCCAGGAUGUUGGCUUAGAAGCAGCCAUCAUUUAAAGAAAGCGUAAUAGCUCACUGGUCGAGUCGUCCUGCGCGGAAGAUGUAACGGGGCUCAAACUGUGCACCGAAGCUACGGAUAUGUCAUUUAUGACAUAUGGUAGGAGAGCGUUCUGUAGGCCUGAGAAGGUGAGGUGUGAACCUUGCUGGAGGUAUCAGAAGUGCGAAUGCUGACAUGAGUAGCGAUAAAACGGGUGAAAAGCCCGUUCGCCGAAAGCCCCAGGUUUCCUGUUCAACGUUCAUCGGAACAGGGUGAGUCGGUCCCUAAGGCGAGGCUGAGAAGCGUAGUCGAUGGAAAACAGGUUAAUAUUCCUGUACCGGUCUUGAAUGCGAUGUGGGGACGGAGAAGGUUAACUCAGCCAACUGUUGGAAUAGUUGGUUUAAGUGUGUAGGCAGAGAUCUUAGGCAAAUCCGGGAUCUUAAUGCUGAGGCAUGAUGACGAGGUGCUACGGCACUGAAGUGAGCGAUACCAUGCUUCCAAGAAAAGCCACUAAGCUUCAGUUCAAGAACGACCGUACCGCAAACCGACACAGGUGGGCAGGGUGAGAAUCCUAAGGCGCUUGAGAGAACUCAGGAGAAGGAACUCGGCAAAUUAACACCGUAACUUCGGGAGAAGGUGUGCCUCAAGUAUGUGAAUCCCCUGCGGGAGGAGCAGAACGAGGUUGCAGUGAAAAGGUGGCUGCGACUGUUUAAUAAAAACACAGCACUGUGCAAACACGAAAGUGGAAGUAUACAGUGUGACGCCUGCCCGGUGCUGGAAGGUUAAUUGAUGGGGUGCAAGCUCUUGAUCGAAGCCCCAGUAAACGGCGGCCGUAACUAUAACGGUCCUAAGGUAGCGAAAUUCCUUGUCGGGUAAGUUCCGACCCGCACGAAUGGCGUAACGAUGGCCACACUGUCUCCUCCUGAGACUCAGCGAAGUUGAAAUGUUUGUGAAGAUGCAAUCUACCCGCGGCUAGACGGAAAGACCCCAUGAACCUUUACUGUAGCUUUGCAUUGGAUUUUGAAUAGACUUGUGUAGGAUAGGUGGGAGGCAUAGAAGCAGGGACGCCAGUUCUUGUGGAGCCAACCUUGAAAUACCACCCUGGUGUGUUUGAGAUUCUAACCUAGGUCCAUUAUCUGGAUCGGGGACCGUGCAUGGUGGGCAGUUUGACUGGGGCGGUCUCCUCCCAAAGCGUAACGGAGGAGCACGAAGGUAUCCUAGCUACGGUCGGAAAUCGUAGCGAUAGUGCAAUGGCAAAAGGAUGCUUGACUGCGAGACUGACAAGUCGAGCAGGUGCGAAAGCAGGUCAUAGUGAUCCGGUGGUUCUGUAUGGAAGGGCCAUCGCUCAACGGAUAAAAGGUACUCUGGGGAUAACAGGCUGAUUCCUCCCAAGAGUUCACAUCGACGGGGGAGUUUGGCACCUCGAUGUCGGCUCAUCACAUCCUGGGGCUGUAGCCGGUCCCAAGGGUAUGGCUGUUCGCCAUUUAAAGUGGUACGUGAGCUGGGUUUAAAACGUCGUGAGACAGUUUGGUCCCUAUCUGCCGUGGGCGCUGGAAAUUUGAAGGGACCUGCUCCUAGUACGAGAGGACCGGAGUGGACGAAUCUCUGGUGUACCGGUUAUCACGCCAGUGGUAUUGCCGGGUAGCUAAAUUCGGAAGAGAUAAACGCUGAAAGCAUCUAAGCGUGAAACUCGCCUUGAGAUGAGAUUUCCCGGGGGUAUAACCCCCCUAAAGGGUCGUGGAAGACCACCACGUUGAUAGGCUGGGUGUGGAAGUGCAGUAAUGCAUUAAGCUUACCAGUACUAAUUGCCCGUGAGGCUUGACCC